rnacentral:lncRNA from 1 species
GCAUUUAGGACCUGGCCCGUUCUCCCCAGCUCCAGAGCAGCAGCAAAGGGAAGCAGCGUCCUCGCCAAUACCUGGGCUGUCCUUCAAGGCUCAGUGCAAGGAAAAACACCUGGGUUGGACAUCAGAUAAGGAAAUUGAGACUCAAAGAGGACCCCCAUGGAGAAAGUAAUGAAGCUUGAAUUUAGACCCAAGAUCAUGUCCCUUUCACUUCCUCAGCCUGCCCAGGAAGUUUAUAGCGUGCUCAUGCCACAAACCCUGGAGCUGGAUACGCGCUCAAUUGGCUUGAAGACCUUGGGUAGUGCUGACUUCCAGACCACUGAGGUCACCUGCAUAAGCGAGUCUGGCAACAAAUAAUCGUCUUCCAGAAAAUGACCAGAAACUCAGCCUGCUUUUUGUCAUUUCACCAGCCCCACCAUCUUUCCUUUAUUCUAGAGCUCCUGGCACACUUACAUGAAUCUCUUGAAAGAAGAGAAAUGAGAGCAUUCAUUCCAUACUAAUACAAUUGUGCCCUAUGGAAAGGCUUUUUGCUGGCAGACAUAGUAGACGGACCAUUUCCCAACUUCUUUUUCUUUGCCACCUUCCAGCCAAAGGUGUCCAUAUGACACAGCUCUGGACAGGAUAAUUGGAAGUCUGUUGUGGGAUUUCUGAGAAAGCUUUUGAUUUUCUGACAGAGACAUUUUUGCUUCCCCUUACCACUUCCUACUGGAUUACAGAUGUGAUGGAAAGAGCUGCAGCAGCCAUAAUACAACCAUAAAGGAGAGGAGAAGAGAAUUGCAAAGGCAUCAACCCACAUUGAAUUGAACUGCUAAGUUAACACUAGCAGUUACUUGCCUCCAGAUAUCUUGGUGUGUGAGAACAUUAAAUCUGUAUGUGUCUAAAUCAG